AGAACCUUAGGCUAAUCAAACCUUGGACCUUCAAAGUCCAAAAUAGGAGUGCAAACCCCCUAGUUUCUG
rnacentral:tRNA from 1 species